CAAGAAGAAGAAGACUGAUUCGGGCUCGUCGUUUUCUGAAGCCACACAAGCACCACCAAGACUGGACAGGGGUUCGGACUGUAGACAGCAAACUAAUGUGAUUAAAUGUGUUUUUUUUUUUAUCAAUAGUUUAUGACCUGAGGAGAAUGGGUCCCCCCUGUGAGUCUGGUUCCUCCCAAGGUUUCUUCCUCCCGCUUUGAGGGAGUUUUUCCUUGCCACUGUUGCCUUUGGCUUGCUCACAGGGGGUUUUAUUAAUAAAGUAUUGAGGAGACCAGCUUGGACACAGUUUUGGUAGCUGGGAAAAGCCUCAUAGCUAAUAUAAGAAGAACAAGAACAAGAAGAACAAGACAAAGAAGAAGACUGAUUCCGGUUAGUCGUUUUCCGAAGCCACACAAGCAUGAGCGAGACUGGACAGGGGUUCGAACUGUAGACGGCAAACUAAUGUGAUUAAAUGUGUUUUUUUUUUCAUCAGUAGUUUACGACCUGAGGAGGAUGGGUCCCCCCUGUGAGUCUGGUUCCUCCCAAGGUUUCUUCCUCCCGCUUUGAGGGAGUUUUUCCUUGCCACUGUCGCCUUUGGCUUGCUCACAGGGGUUUUAUAGAUAAAGUAUUAAGGAGACCAGCCUGGACACAGUUUUGGUAGCUGGGAAAAGCCUGAUAGCUAAUAUAAGAAGGAGAAGAAGAAGAAGAAGAAAAACAAGAAGAAGAAGAAGAAGAACAACAACAACAACAAGAAAAAGAACAAGAAGAAGAAAAACAAUAAGAAGAACAAGAAGAAGAAGACUGAUUCGGGCUUGUCGUUUUCUGAAGCCACACAAGCACCACCAAGACUGGACAGGGGUUCGGACUGUAGACAGCAAACUAAUGUGAUUUAAUGUGAUUUUCUUUUCAUCAAUAGUUUACGACCUGAGGAGGAUGGGUCCCCCCUGUGAGUCUGUUCCUCCCAAGGUUUCUUCCUCCCGCUUUGAGGGAGUUUUUCCUUGCCACUGUCGCCUUUGGCUUGCUCACAGGGGGUUUUAUAAAUAAAGUAUUAAGGAGACCAGCCUGGACACAGUUUUGGUAGCUGGGAAAAGCCUGAUAGCUAAUAUAAGAAGGAGAAGAAGAAGAAGAAGAAGAAGAAGAAGAAGAAGAAAAACAAGAAGAAGAAGAAGAACAACAACAACAACAAGAAAAAGAAAAAGAACAAGAAGAAGAAAAACAAUAAGAAGAACAAGAAGAAGAAGACUGAUUCGGGCUCGUCGUUUUCUGAAGCCACACAAGCACCACCAAGACUGGACAGGGGUUCGGACUGUAGACAGCAAACUAAUGUGAUUUUCUUUUCAUCAAUAGUUUACGACCUGAGGAGGAUGGGUCCCCCCUGUGAGUCUGUUCCUCCCAAGGUUUCUUCCUCCCGCUUUGAGGGAGUUUUUCCUUGCCACUGUCGCCUUUGGCUUGCUCACAGGGGGUUUUAUAAAUAAAGUAUUAAGGAGACCAGCUUGGACACAGUUUUGGUAGCUGGGAAAAGCCUAAUAGCUAAUAUAAGAAGAAGUAGAAAAAGAAGAACAAGAAGAACAAGACAAAGAAGAAGACUCAUUUGGGCUCGUCAAUUUCUGAAGCCACACAAGCAUGACCAACACUGGUCAGGGGUUCGAACUGUAGACAGCAAACUAAUGUGAUUAAAUGUGAUUUUUUUUUUCAUCAGUAGUUUACGACCUGAGGAGGAUGGGUCCCCCCUGUGAGUCUGUUCCUCCCAAGUUUUCUUUCUCCCACUUUGAGGGAGUUUUUCCUUGCCACUGUCGUCUUUGGCUUGCUCACAGGGGGUUUUAUAAAUAAAGUAUUAAGAAGCCCAGCCUGGGCACAAUCUUGGUAGCUGGGAAAAGCCUGAUAGCUAAUAUAAGAAAAACAAGAAGAAAAAGAAGAAGAAGAAGAAGAAGACUGAUUCGGGCUCAUCAUUGUCUGAAGCCACAUAAGCAUAAGCCUGGUUCCUUCCAAGGUUUCUUCUUUCCGCUUUGAUGGAGUUUUUCCUUGCCACUGUCGCCUUUGGCUUGCUCACAGGGAGUUUUAUAAAUAAAGUAUUAAGGAGACCAACCUGGACACAGUUUUGGUGGCUGGGAAAAGCCUGAUAGCUAAUAUAAGCAUAACAAGAAUGAAAAAAAAAGUAAAACGAGAAGAAGAACAAGAAAAAGAAGAAGACUGAUUCAGGCUCGUCUUUUUCUGAAGCCACACAAGCACCACCAAGACUGCACAGGGGUUCGGACUGUAGACAGCAAACUAAUGUGAUUAAAUGUGAUUUUUUUUUCAUCAGUAGUUUACGACCUGAGGAGGAUGGGUCCCCCCUGUGAGUCUGGUUCCUCCCAAGGUUUCUUCCUCCCGCUUUGAGGGAGUUUUUCCUUGCCACUGUCGCCUUUGGCUUGCUCACAGGGGGUUUUAUAAAUAAAGUAUUAAGGAGACCAGCCUGGACACAGUCUUGUUAGCUGGGAAAAGCCUGAUAGCUAAUAUAAGAAGAAGAAGAAGAAAAAGAAGAAGAAGAAGAAGAAGAAGAAGAAGAAGAAAAACAAGAAGAAGAACAACAACAACAACAAAAAGAAAAAGAACAAGAAGAAGAAAAACAAUAAGAAGAACAAGAAGAAGAAGACUGAUUCGGGCUCGUCGUUUUCUGAAGCCACACAAGCACCACCAAGACUGGACAGGGGUUGGGACUGUAGACAGCAAACUAAUGUGAUUAAAUGUGUUUUUUUUUUUAUCAAUAGUUUAUGACCUGAGGAGAAUGGGUCCCCCCUGUGAGUCUGGUUCCUCCCAAGGUUUCUUCCUCCCGCUUUGAGGGAGUUUUUCCUUGCCACUGUUGCCUUUGGCUUGCUCACAGGGGGUUUUAUUAAUAAAGUAUUGAGGAGACCAGCUUGGACACAGUUUUGGUAGCUGGGAAAAGCCUCAUAGCUAAUAUAAGAAGAACAAGAACAAGAAGAACAAGACAAAGAAGAAGACUGAUUCCGGUUAGUCGUUUUCCGAAGCCACACAAGCAUGAGCGAGACUGGACAGGGGUUCGAACUGUAGACGGCAAACUAAUGUGAUUAAAUGUGUUUUUUUUUUCAUCAGUAGUUUACGACCUGAGGAGGAUGGGUCCCCCCUGUGAGUCUGGUUCCUCCCAAGGUUUCUUCCUCCCGCUUUGAGGGAGUUUUUCCUUGCCACUGUCGCCUUUGGCUUGCUCACAGGGGUUUUAUAGAUAAAGUAUUAAGGAGACCAGCCUGGACACAGUUUUGGUAGCUGGGAAAAGCCUGAUAGCUAAUAUAAGAAGGAGAAGAAGAAGAAGAAGAAAAACAAGAAGAAGAAGAAGAAGAACAACAACAACAACAAGAAAAAGAACAACAAGAAGAAAAACAAUAAGAAGAACAAGAAGAAGAAGACUGAUUCGGGCUUGUCGUUUUCUGAAGCCACACAAGCACCACCAAGACUGGACAGGGGUUCGGACUGUAGACAGCAAACUAAUGUGAUUUAAUGUGAUUUUCUUUUCAUCAAUAGUUUACGACCUGAGGAGGAUGGGUCCCCCCUGUGAGUCUGUUCCUCCCAAGGUUUCUUCCUCCCGCUUUGAGGGAGUUUUUCCUUGCCACUGUCGCCUUUGGCUUGCUCACAGGGGGUUUUAUAAAUAAAGUAUUAAGGAGACCAGCCUGGGCACAGUCUUGUUAGCUGGGAAAAGCCUGAUAGCUAAUAUAAGAAGAAGAAGAAAAAGAAGAACAAGAAGAACAAGACGAAGAAGAAGACUAAUUUGGGCUCGUCGAUUUCUGAAGCCACACAAGCAUGACCAACACUGGACAGGUGUUCGAACUGUAGACAGCAAACUAAUGUGAUUAAAUGUGAUUUUUUUUCAUCAGUAGUUUACGACCUGAGGAGGAUGGGUCCCCCCUGUGAGUCUGUUCCUCCCAAGUUUUCUUCCUCCCACUUUGAGGGAGUUUUUCCUUGCCACUGUCGUCUUUGGCUUGCUCACAGGGGGUUUUAUAAAUAAACUAUUAAGAAGCCCAGCCUGGGCACAAUCUUGGUAGCUGGGAAAAGCCUGAUAGCUAAUAUAAGAAGAACAAGAAGAAAAAGAAGAAGAAGAAGAAGAAGAAGAAGAAGACUGAUUCGGGCUCAUCAUUGUCUGAAGCCACAUAAGCAUAAGCCUGGUUCCUUCCAAGGUUUCUUCUUUCCGCUUUGAUGGAGUUUUUCCUUGCCACUGUCGCCUUUGGCUUGCUCACAGGGGUUUUUAUAAAUAAAGUAUUAAGGAGACCAACCUGGACACAGUUUUGGUCGCUGGGAAAAGCCUGAUAGCUAAUAUAAGCAUAACAACAAUGAAAAAAAAGUAAAACGAGAAGAAGAACAAGAAAAAGAAGAAGACUGAUUCAGGCUCGUCUUUUUCUGAAGCCACACAAGCACCACCAAGACUGGACAGGGGUUCGGACUGUAGACAGCAAACUAAUGUGAUAAAAUGUGUUUUUUUUCAUCAAUAGUUUACGACCUGAGGAGGAUGGGUCCCCCCUGUGAGUCUGUUCCUCCCAAGGUUUCUUCCUCCCGCUUUGAGGGAGUUUUUCCUUGCCACUGUCGCCUUUGGCUUGCUCACAGGGGGUUUUAUAAAUAAAGUAUUAAGGAGACCAGCCUGGGCACAGUCUUGUUAGCUGGGAAAAGCCUGAUAGCUAAUAUAAGAAGAAGAAGAAAAAGAAGAACAAGAAGAACAAGACGAAGAAGAAGACUAAUUUGGGCUCGUCGAUUUCUGAAGCCACACAAGCAUGACCAACACUGGACAGGUGUUCGAACUGUAGACAGCAAACUAAUGUGAUUAAAUGUGAUUUUUUUUCAUCAGUAGUUUACGACCUGAGGAGGAUGGGUCCCCCCUGUGAGUCUGUUCCUCCCAAGUUUUCUUCCUCCCACUUUGAGGGAGUUUUUCCUUGCCACUGUCGUCUUUGGCUUGCUCACAGGGGGUUUUAUAAAUAAACUAUUAAGAAGCCCAGCCUGGGCACAAUCUUGGUAGCUGGGAAAAGCCUGAUAGCUAAUAUAAGAAGAACAAGAAGAAAAAGAAGAAGAAGAAGAAGAAGAAGAAGAAGACUGAUUCGGGCUCAUCAUUGUCUGAAGCCACAUAAGCAUAAGCCUGGUUCCUUCCAAGGUUUCUUCUUUCCGCUUUGAUGGAGUUUUUCCUUGCCACUGUCGCCUUUGGCUUGCUCACAGGGGUUUUUAUAAAUAAAGUAUUAAGGAGACCAACCUGGACACAGUUUUGGUCGCUGGGAAAAGCCUGAUAGCUAAUAUAAGCAUAACAACAAUGAAAAAAAAGUAAAACGAGAAGAAGAACAAGAAAAAGAAGAAGACUGAUUCAGGCUCGUCUUUUUCUGAAGCCACACAAGCACCACCAAGACUGGACAGGGGUUCGGACUGUAGACAGCAAACUAAUGUGAUAAAAUGUGUUUUUUUUCCCAUCAAUACUUUACGACCUGAGGAGGAUGGGUCCCCCCUGUGAGUCUGGUUCCUCCCAAGGUUUCUUCCUCCCGCUUUGAGGGAGUUUUUCCUUGCCACUGUUGCCUUUGGCUUGCUCACAAGGGGUUUUAUUAAUAAAGUAUUGAGGAGACCAGCCUGGACACAGUUUUGGUAGCUGGGAAAAGCCUAAUAGCUAAUAUAAGAAGAAGUAGAAAAAGAAGAACAAGAAGAACAAGACGAAGAAGAAGACUAAUUUGGGCUCAUCGAUUUCUGAAGCCACACAAGCAUGACCAA